rnacentral:rRNA from 1 species
UACGUAGGGUGCAAGCGUUGUCCGGAAUUAUUGGGCGUAAAGAGCUCGUAGGCGGUCUGUCGCGUCGGCUGUGAAAACCCGGGGCUCAACCCCGGGCCUGCAGUCGAUACGGGCAGAUUAGAGUGCGGUAGGGGAGACUGGAAUUCCUGGUGUAGCGGUGAAAUGCGCAGAUAUCAGGAGGAACACCGGUGGCGAAGGCGGGUCUCUGGGCCGUAACUGACGCUGAGGAGCGAAAGCAUGGGGAGCGAACAGG